rnacentral:rRNA from 1 species
CCUACGGGGGGCUGCAGUGGGGAAUAUUGGACAAUGGGCGAAAGCCUGAUCCAGCCAUGCCGCGUGUGUGAAGAAGGCCUUCGGGUUGUAAAGCACUUUCAGUGGGGAAGAAAGCCUUGGGGCUAAUACCCUCGAGGAAGGACAUCACCCACAGAAGAAGCACCGGCUAACUCCGUGCCAGCAGCCGCGGUAAUACGGAGGGUGCGAGCGUUAAUCGGAAUUACUGGGCGUAAAGCGCGCGUAGGCGGUCUGAUAAGCCGGUUGUGAAAGCCCCGGGCUCAACCUGGGAACGGCAUCCGGAACUGCCAGGCUAGAGUGCAGGAGAGGAAGGUAGAAUUCCCGGUGUAGCGGUGAAAUGCGUAGAGAUCGGGAGGAAUACCAGUGGCGAAGGCGGCCUUCUGGACUGACACUGACGCUGAGGUGCGAAAGCGUGGGUAGCAAACAGGAUUAGAUACCCUUGUAGUC